UGUUCAUGUUUAAAAAACAGACUUCAACUCAAAAUUCUGAAGAGAAACAUCGCUGCUUCUUCCUUAGCCAUUUUGACUUGGAUUCUUCGAGGACCAAACUUGAAGAAAAAGAAUUGUCGUAUGAAAAAGGGCAAAAGCGAAGACCAAUGAAAAAGAAGUGUUUGGUGGGACAAUUGGUCAAAGUCUACAACAUUGUCUUCGUGCGGAAUGGGUUAAAAGUUGACUUGCUGCGUCAAGACGACUUUUCUUUCAAAUUAAGUUUUGCCCCUAUACUCUACAGUUUGCUUUGGGCUCGUUAAAAGCGUUGAAGGACAAUGUAGAGCUACUCAUGUGGGUUUCAAAAUGAAAUAUGACCCAAUAUCCAUGUACCAAAUUCAGCUUUGUACCAAUAUUCUUGGCAUCUUUAUGGGGACUUGAACCUCUAAUCAACCGUAACCACUACACUAA